CUUAGAGUAUUAUUCAAACAUUUGCAUGUUUUUUUUCCACACCAGUUUGAAGCAUUCACAAACAACAGCAGAAUUACUCUGGUCUCCCAUUUUACUGAUAAAUUUCACCUGCCCUGGAUUUCCUAAGUGGAUUUCCCAGAUUUGCAGGCAGAAACUCUUAUAGAGCCAGGAACAGGAGUUAACUCUGCUGGUUUCCUGCUCAGUAACUUAAUGAAGAGGCCAUCCUGUCUCUUUUGCUCAUGUACAUUGUAUAAUUCCUUUGGGGACUAAGGGGAGAGAUGUGCGUGCACACAGACUCACAUGCAUCAUAAUGAGCUACUCUAUGAAAUAAUGCAGAACAUUUCUCUAUAGGAACCCUGCCAAAAAAGAAACAAUUGGCAGAAGAUGUAUGUUAAUAUGUGUUCACCAAAAUAUUCACAUCCAAACACUCCACAUCUCUCAAGAGUUCUCAGAGAGUUUUGCAGCCAUUGGAUUAAGAGAUGGGGAAAAGAAAAGGAAAAAUCUUCAAGAACAGAGAGCACAUUCCUUCUCAGUAUCAUUAUGCACUUCAGAAGACAUUUUUAUAGAAAUCCUUCAGAAAAAAAGCGUGGUUCAAGAACAGAUCUGAGGUGCACAAUGCAUGUAAGUAUACUGUAAACAUUGUUCAGACAGUUUUGAUAGUUCAAAUAUAGUUUCAUUUGGAGGCAUCUUAGAUUAGUACCAGUGUGAUGGCAAAAAAAGCCUACAGAAAUACGUACCUUGUUAUCUGAAAUAUUGACAAAAAUAAUCAAGCUGCAAUUAUGCUGUAAGUACAGAUACUUUCGCCUCCUCACUUCAUCUUUCUUCUAUUAAGGACUUUCAUCCCUAAGGAGUCUUGGAGAGCCUUCCAGAGCUCAAAGAACUGAGUCAGGCUCUGGACACCUAAAGCCAAUAGCAUAUUCUCACUGAGUCAUUGCUUUAGACUUUGUCACAGAGCCGAGUAUGAACAACUGCAUACCCACAGCAUUACAGAUGUGCUUCUGACUAUCCUAUUAUAUCCAGGAUGCAUGUUUUGUUAUCCAUUUCCCUCCACUCCAACCUAAAUUGAGCUCUGUUUAGAAGAGAUGUUCAACUAAGUGCUUGCAGUAUGUAUGUAAACUGCAAAGCACAGAAUGGAACUGUAUCUCCAAAUCGCAUCCAUCUUAGACCAAGUCAGAGCACAAGCUAGCACAAAGUUCAGCAAGGCUUAUAUGAUAUUAAUUACUGUACGAUUCUAUCGCAAAGCUACAUGUUUCUAUCUGUACUCAUCCUUGAGCACUACAGUUUAAAAACAACCAUUCCAAAUAAAAAAAUAUGCAUUUCUCCUCA
rnacentral:lncRNA from 1 species